rnacentral:rRNA from 1 species
CUGAUCAGCAUGCCGCGUGAGUGAUGAGGGCCUUAGGGUUGUAAAGCUCUUUUACCCGGGACGAUAAUGACGGUACCUGGAGAAUAAGCUCCGGCUAACUCCGUGCCAGCAGCCGCGGUAAUACGGAGGGAGCUAGCGUUGUUCGGAAUUACUGGGCGUUAAAGCGCACGUAGGCGGUUGACUCAAGUCAGAGGUGAAAGCCCGGGGCUCAACCUGGGAACUGCCUUUGAAACUGGGUAGCUGGAAUCUGGUAGAGGUCAGUGGAAUUCCGAGUGUAGAGGUGAAAUUCGUAGAUAUUCGGAAGAACACCAUUGGCGAAGGCGACUGACUGGACCAGUAUUGACGCUGAGGUGCCAAAGCGUGGGGAGCAAACAGGAUUAGAUACCCUGGUAGUCCACGCCAUAAACUAUGAUUGCUAGCCGUCCGGGAACUUGAUGCUUGGUUGGCGCACUAAAGGCAUUAACUUAUCCGCCGGGGAAAAUGGUCGCCAUGAUGAAAACUAAAGGAAGUUGACGGCUCAAAGGAAUUGACGG